rnacentral:lncRNA from 1 species
GCUUGGAAUGCCAGCCAUUUGAACAGCUGUUGGUGUGUGUUGGGAAAUUUAGAGGCUAGGUAAGGACAAAGCCCCUGGAGGAGGCAGCUCCACUUACUAUGUCUCAUGUCUACGAGUUUAAGUAACCCGUUAGUAGCUGCACAGCGAUUAAGCACUAGAACCAGCUUCCACAUCUCAGUGCCCUGAGUCCAGAGUCUGGGCUGUCACUCUCUACAAAAUGCUGCAUUAUUUACUCUUCAUAUUAACCCUUCGAGGCCUCAGAGAGUUCCCUUGAUCGCCCCUUCUGCCACAUGAGGACACAGUGACAAGAGGCCGUCUGUGAACCAGAAAGUGGACCACCGUCAGACAUCAAAUCUGCCAGGACCUUGAUCUUGGACUUCCCAGCCACCAGAACCAUGAGAAACAAAUUUCUGUUCUUUAUAAGCCACCUAGUCUAUGGCAUUUGGUUAAUGUAGCCCAAACAGACUAAGACAUUGAUGUGUAAGAAAUUAUUCCAUUUUUAUGAUAAUUAUCAAAUACCUAGUGUGAGAAAGGGAUGGAUGGGGAAUUUUAAUAAAAUCUUCAUGUUUGCCUAUAAGAUUAACACUAUUCAGCUUUAUGUUAAGCCUUUACCAACAGAUUUGUUUAUUAUUGAGGUAAUUAACAAUAUGUGAAAGUCCCUAGCAUAGUUGUGACACUUAGAAGCACUCAAAAAUUUUUCAGAUUUUAAAUCUAAGUUUUGUUCUCUAAGACCUACAUUUCCA